AAGAAAGUUAAUAAGGGCGUACGGUGAAUGCCUUGGCUCUCUUAGGCGAUGAAGGACGUGAUAAGCUGCGAUAAGCUUCGGGGAUUGGCAAAUACAAAUCGAUCCGAAGAUUUCCGAAUGGGGAAACCCGAUAUACUGAAGGUAUAUCAUCCGAAAGGAUGCUAACCCAGGGAACUGAAACAUCUAAGUACCUGGAGGAAAAGAAAACAAUUAAGUGAUUCCCCUAGUAGUGGCGAGCGAAACGGGAAUAGCCCAAACCAAUAUUGUUACGGCAAUGUUGGGGUUGUAGGACUACAAUGUGGACUGUAAAUUUAUAGUGGAAGCUUCUGGAAAGUUGCGUCAUAGAGGGUGAUAACCCCGUACACGAAAUAAAUUUGCUACCUAGUAGUAUCCUGAGUACUGCGAGACACGAGAAAUCUUGCAGGAAUCCACCAGGACCAUCUGGUAAGGCUAAAUACUUAAGAGAGACCGAUAGCGAACUAGUACUGUGAAGGAAAGGUGAAAAGAACCGCGAAUAGCGGAGUGAAAUAGAACCUGAAACCGUACGCUUACAAGCGGUAGGAGCAGCUUCGUGCUGUGACUACGUGCCUUUUGCAUAAUGAGCCUACGAGUUACUCCUCUCUGGCAAGGUUAAAGACCAAAGGUCUGUAGCCGAAGCGAAAGCAAGUCUGAAUAGGGCGAAUAGUCAGAGGGGGUAGACGCGAAACCUUGUGAUCUACCCAUGACCAGGAUGAAGUAGUGGUAACACACUAUGGAGGUCCGAACUGGUGAGCGUUGAAAAGCUCUCGGAUGAGUUGUGGGUAGGGGUGAAAGGCUAAUCAAACUGGGAAAUAGCUCGUACUCCCCGAAAUGUUUUUAGGAACAGCCUUGAGGUUAAGUUUCAUAGAGGUAGAGCUACUGAUUGGACUAGGGGGCUUCAUCGCCUACCAAAUCCAGACAAACUCCGAAUGCUAUGAAAUAUACUCAGGAGUGAGCCCACGGGUGCUAAGGUCCGUGGACGAGAGGAGAAGAAUCCAGAUCAUCGGCUAAGGUCCCAAAAUCUGUGUUAAGUUGUUGUAACGUGGUCCGAUUGCAUUGACAGCUAGGAUGUUUGCUUGGAAGCAGCAAUUCAUUUAAAGAGUGCGUAACAGCUCACUAGUCGAGCGAUUGGGCGUGGAUAAUAAGCGGGCAUCAAACACAGUACCGAAGCCAUGAAUUGUACAGUAAUGUACAGUGGUAGGGGAGCAUUCUAACAGCACUGAAGGUGUGGCGUAAGCCAUGCUGGAGCAGUUAGAAAAGCAAAUGUAGGCAUAAGUAACGAUAAUGGGGGCGAGAAACCCCCACACCGAUAGACUAAGGUUUCCUGAUCAACGUUAAUCGAAUCAGGGUUAGUCGGGACCUAAGGCGUAUCCGAAUGGAAAAGUCGAUGGACAACAGGUUAAUAAUCCUGUACUUGCUUUACUGCUAUGGGGUGACGAAGUAGUGAAAAUCCUGCGUACUGACGGAAUAGUACGUUUAAGGGUGUAGGUAUAUCUUUGGUAGGAAAACCCGCCAGGGAUGCUGAAACCCGAUAGUACCGCGAGCCUUCGGGCAAGCGGAUAUGGAUCUAAUCAAACUUCCAAGAAAAACCUCUAAGCUUCAGGUAAAAGCAACCCGUACCGCAAACCGACACAGGUAGUCAAGGAGAGAAUCCUGAGGUGCUCGAGUGAUCCGUGGCUAAGGAACUAGGCAAAUUAACCCUGUAACUUCGGGAUAAAGGGUACCCUCUUCGGAGGGUUUCAAUAAAAUGGCUCUGGCGACUGUUUAUCAAAAACACAUGGCUUUGCUAAAUCGAAAGAUGAUGUAUAAGGCCUGACACCUGCCCGGUGCUGGAAGGUUAAGAGGAGAGGUCAGACGCAAGUCAAAGCUUUGAAUCGAAGCCCCAGUAAACGGCGGCCGUAACUAUAACGGUCCUAAGGUAGCGAAAUUCCUUGUCGGGUAAGUUCCGACCUGCACGAAUGGUGUAACGAUCUGAGCGCUGUCUCAGCCACGAGCUCGGUGAAAUUGUGGUCUCGGUGAAGACGCCGAGUACCCGCAACGGGACGGAAAGACCCCGUGCACCUUUACUAUAGCUUUGCAUUGACUUUGGAUAAAUCAUGUGUAGUAUAGCUGGGAGACUUUGAAGCGGGGGCGCCAGCCCUCGUGGAGUCGCAAUGUGAAAUACCAGCCUUGAUUUAUUCGGAGUCUAACUCCGUACAACGGAGGACAUUGCAUGGUGGGUAGUUUGACUGGGGUGGUCGCCUCCAAAAGAGUAUCGGAGGCUUUCAAAGGUACCCUCAGUACGCUUGGUAACCGUACGUAGAGUGCAUUAGCAUAAGGGUGCUUGACUGUGAGACCGACAAGUCGAGCAGGUACGAAAGUAGGAUAAAGUGAUCCGGUGGUUCCGCAUGGAAGGGCCAUCGCUCAAAGGAUAAAAGGUACGCCGGGGAUAACAGGCUGAUCACUCCCAAGAGCUCACAUCGACGGAGUGGUUUGGCACCUCGAUGUCGGCUCGUCACAUCCUGGGGCU
rnacentral:rRNA from 1 species